rnacentral:rRNA from 1 species
AGAGUUUGAUCCUGGCUCAGAGCGAACGCUGGCGGCAGGCCUAAUACAUGCAAGUCGAGCGGCCCUUCGGGGCAGCGGCGGACGGGUGAGUAACGCGUGGGAAUGUGCCCUUUGGUACGGAACAACACAGGGAAACUUGUGCUAAUACCGUAUGUGCCCUUCGGGGGAAAGAUUUAUCGCCAUUGGAGCAGCCCGCGUUGGAUUAGCUAGUUGGUGGGGUAAAGGCCCACCAAGGCGACGAUCCAUAGCUGGUCUGAGAGGAUGAUCAGCCACACUGGGACUGAGACACGGCCCAGACUCCUACGGGAGGCAGCUGUAGGGAAUCUUGCGCAAUGGGCGAAAGCCUGACGCAGCCAUGCCGCGUGAAUGAUGAAGGUCUUAGGAUUGUAAAUUCUUUCACCGGGGAAGAUAAUGACGUACCCGGAGAGA